rnacentral:ncRNA from 1 species
GCAAAUCAUCCGAAAGGGUGAGACGCAAAGCUCUGAGUCUAAGGAUGUUUCUUUCAUCUAUGAUCGUCAAGUUGC